UUUUGGUCCAGAUUGGCAUAGAGAAAAGGACAUUCUUAAGACUUAAGAAUAUUGCUGUAACGUGAACUGUAGUUUGUAGCCAGCUCUUGUUUUGAAGUUAUUUAUUUACCAUGACUAAUUCAGACUUUCGCCUCACACGUGGCAUUGCCUGGGCUCUCUGGGCACCAGGACACGAGGCGCUUGGCGCCCAGGAAGGAAACGCCACCGGUUCCCACCGGCAGUGCCAGCCUUGCUCCGGACCCUGAAAAUGAGUAUCAUUAACACCGAGUUUCUAAAAUGCAUUUCACAUCUAUGCACAGAUGUGUGCCAAAAUUAAAGUGUGGAUGCAGAAUCAAAUUGCUGCCUUGCUAUUUCUCAUCUUGCCCUAUUUUUUUUUUAUAAUUAAUCAGCCUGGAGACACUAAGGAGCCAAGUGUUGUGGCAGCGAAGAGGUGAUUCGGGAAGGACCAGUGGGCUGCAAAUCUCCUGGCAGCAGGACCAACUCCACUCUGCAGCCACCCCUGUUUUAAGGGUAAAUAUGCUGGCAGACGGACAGAAGACCCAGCAGGGCCCACAGCAUCCUCUCGUACACAUUGCUGCUGCAGAAAGCUUCACGUCUGGGCUCACAAAUGCUGUGGAGCCAAACGCUUCCCCAGGAGUGGGUAGUUGCUGGUGCUCAGCAAACAUGUGCAUUCACAUUCUGCUUUAGCUGAAGCUGAAAAGUCCAGUCUGGUCUUUUCUAGAAGUUCACAAGUAGAGGCUGGAUCAGGCUUAAAGCUGCCAAAUGCAGCAUAUUUUUGUAUUGUGUUAAUACUAUUAAUAAAUUAACCUGAAACAACUCCUUGCCAGUGAAACUAGGAUCCUGGCAUGACACUGAUGGAGAGCUGCCCAGAACAAACCAGUGUCCGAACUUGGUCUCCCCGAUGUCCCCCAACUCCAGGCUCGGGCCUUCCUCAGCUGGGUGGGCUCAGCAGUCGGUGUCCCAGCUGUGCCCUAUUUCACAGCCCUGCAAGCAAGGGCUUCCAGCCAAGGGCACCCAGGUGAGAGAAUAAACCAUGCUGAGGUGCUGAUUGCGCACUAGAAUAGCCAAGAUCAUCUUUCAUAAAAGAAUGAAAAAUUGCUGUCCGUGUCUGGUUUUUAACUAUUGCAGAACCUCAUGAAUUUCCUGCUUUUUAAGCAUUAUUAACCAGCAGAGAUUUACAGCUGUUUGCAUUUGUGAAGCCUCAGAUUACUAACAUUUUCUGCUUUUAGAAAAUAGGCUACAGAUUCUUUAGUAACGAAUGAAGAAAUGUCAAAUAUCUGGGCACUGAAAUGAAAUCCCUAUUGUCAAGGCAAUUAAAUACCUCAUUCCUGUUGCACUUGGUUUACUGUGCCUUCCUAUUGGCAAACUGCUCUGCAGUAAGUUUUGUGUCAUUACCGUGAAUUAACUAUGUUCUACACUCUAUAAAUAUUUAUUAUGAUCAAGACAUAUUAGGCAUGGCAGAUGCAAAAAUCUGAUGACGCUAUCUCAAGCAGCAAUACAGUCUUUCAAGCCAGCAUGAGACUGUAGACUGCUCAGACCAUUCCAUGAUGCAUUGAGAUUUUUGUGUGGAGCCUCAAAGAGCGUGCAGAGUCUAGCUGAAGUUCACAAAGAAAACAAAGCACUUGAGCACCUGGUAGCUUGAUGCUUUUUUUUUUUUUUUUUCCUUUUCUUUAAAGUAGAGGCCAAUGACACAUUUGGAGAUAAUUAAAACAAAGGCUGAGCUUUUUUUAAUAUGCCAUGAGUAUUAGCAGCUGGAUGAGGAAGAAGCCAGCAAAAAAGCAGCAUACUCUUACACCAUCUAUAAAUAAAACCAGGCUUCAAAACUGAGAGAGCAGUCUUUCUUUUUUUUUUUUUUUUUAAAUUCCCUUUUUCCCCUCCACAGAAAAUCUUUUCUUUGUGCCAGGACUAAAAUAUUAGCACCGUGUUCCCUCCUCUGUUUAAACAGACCUCAUUGCAUCUAAGUGCCAAAAGAGUGGAAUUCCUGAACAGCAGGUGAAAAGAAAACACAAGAUCAAAAGCAGCUCUGGCUGCCAAGAGAACCUGCAGCACUGCUUGGGGGUGCAUGAAAAAGUCACGCAGACUCCUGGUGGUGUCAAAGACUUUUGGAAGGUCAUCAAGGAGGUUUUUUUUCAAGCAUCCCACUUCAAAAAGCAGCACUAGGAGACAAACCUGCAAUACAUCAUGAGGAUGGUGCUAAAGAUACCGAUCACCCACUUGUAGGAGAAUUUAACUGUUUUUCCCCAUCGCAUCUAUGGAAGCAGCUCUAAGAAAUCAGUGCUCAGAGUGGAGCCUGUGGGUAAGAAAAUAGAUGUAAGCGCUCAUGCUGGAGGAACGUUAGGCAAUGGCUGGUUUGGGUCCAUAGCCCACUGGGAGCACUAUUGAAGAAAUGUGUCUUUUUCAGCUCAUCCUUCCAGUGAAGGCGAAGGGCCUAUGUUUUGCUGUCCUUGUAAACAGCCAGCUCUAACAUUAGUUCCUAUCGCCAAGCAACAAAGUUCUUUUAAAUAAAGACAUACCUUAGUAGGGUUGAAAAUAAUCUGAGAUGCACAUCUAUUCCUAAAGACAGCCUUUUUUUUUUUUUUUUUUUAAUUUUAAAAUUCUGCAUCUGAAAACACAGUAUGACAGAAAGCAUUUAUAUACAACUGCAGUGUUUUUGGUAUAAUACAGUAUUUAAUACAUCCAUUUAUUUUUCUGCAAAAAAAUUUGCUUUGUCAGACAAAAAAACCAAAUUCCCAUUAACAAAGAAUACAGCUAAGGCACAUUGUUUUCUGCUAAAUGAAAGACAAAAGGGUGAAAAAACGGGUAGUGCAAUAAUUGCUGAAAGUCACAUUCUACUACAAGAAAAGCAUUCUGACUUUGAACUUUGAUUACCAGUCAAUUUAAGACAUUUCAAUAUCUCAUAAAAUACUCCUUUAAAUAAAUAGCAAAAUAUCUACAUCUUUCAGUGUGUUCCAUUUGAAUUUCCAAUUUUUUUUUAAACUUUGCUGUAUAUACAUGGUUUUAUUUUUUCUUAUUCAAUAGCUUACAAAAUAUUUCUGUACAAUUUUAUGCAUAUUAUGAUCUAUAACAAAAUAGUUAUUUCUUAAAACUAUAUUACCACCAGUCUUUGAAAAUGACAGAACAGGAAUAACUUAUUACGGACUAUGUUAGGCAAUACAAAAAUCCAAUCAAAACAAAACAAAAAUGACAAA